CCCUUAGAUGUUCUGGGCCGCACGCGCGCUACAAUGGUCUUCGCAAACGGAUGCAUUCUCGAAGGAGAAUGCCAAUCUUGGAAUCUAUGCCUUGGUCGGGACAGUUGCUUGCAAUUUUUCGACUCGAACCAGGAAUUCCUUGUAAUCGUGAUUCAUCACAUCACGAUGAAUACGUCCCUGCCCUUUGUACACACCGCCCGUCGCUCCUACCGAUCGAAGAGCUAGGUGAAUUGUUUUGAUCGAUAAGAUUUGACUAUGGUCAACUCUCGUUGUGAAAUUCUGUGAAUCUGACUGUUUAGAGGAAGGAAAAGUCGUAACA
rnacentral:rRNA from 1 species